UGCCCCGUGGCCCAGAUGGUUAAGGCGUGUGACUGUUAUCUCCUGGAGAAGAUCCCUUCAAUACCAAUCACAAGAUCGUGAGUUCGAGCCUCACCGGGGCAG